AAAAUGGAGGGAGGACACAAGAAAAGUUAAAAUUCAAAGUUUCUUCUUAUGGUAUCUUGAAGAAUUGAAGGUUUGAAGGAAAGAAGGUACCAAAUAUGAAGAGAGAAGGCCCACAUCCUAGGACCAUUUCCACUGAGAAGCUGCUCUCCAAGUGAAUACAGCUCAAUGCAACUCAACAAGUGUUUGCAGAGCACCUGCUGAAAGUCAAGGAGAAGCCUUACUCACUUCCAUAUCAACUGUACCAUUCACUUUCUGUCAUGCACAACCUCCCAAUAUUAAAUACCUUUUCACAUUCGAAGGCCUGGAUUCCUCAAGAUGCUGAAAAUUUCUGCCAAAUAUCUUGGUAACAUUUAGAACUGUUUUCAAAAGAAAGAAAGGCACUAUUAAGACCAGCUCUAAGCUCAAGCAAGAUCUCCAGGUGUGCCUAAAGAAUCUUGGGGAUGUGUCUUCUGAAGCUAAAGAGACCCCUAAGCAUCCUGCAAAAUACCAGUGCACAACAAUUUGGGACAUAGCUUAAGCUUUCUGCUCGAUGCUGGCGACAAAGAGGAGAAAGACAACUUCUACUCUCAGACAACUUAGUCUGCUUUAGGAGUUACAAACACAGACAAUUUCAACACUGGAUGAAAAUGAUGGGACAAAGGUAAAAGGAGAGAGGAAUGCAUCUCAGCUGAGUUUCAGAAAAAAAAAAAGUUUUGAAGAGAUCUCAAUGUUAGGAAGCCAACAAGGCCUGCAAAAGUCACCUAGAUCAUGAAAUUGACUAUGUCAGGGGAGGCAAUUCGUCACAAUCGUGUUUGAAAAUGAGGAUAAGCAUGGAGAGCCAAUGAUUACAUUUCACAAUGUCCUUCAUGGGUAUGUGAAUAUGAUAGUAGGAAUCUUAGCUCUUCACUUAAAGAAAGAAGCAUUAAAAUUUGGAAUUUUAGAGAGUGAGAUGAUAAAAAGAUACGUGGUAUGGUAUUACCACCUUCUUGGAAUUUCUGAAAAACCAUGUUCAGGACCCAGACAUAGAUAACUGACUCCUUCAUUUGAAUUUUAGGUAGGUACUACCUGUGUUAUUGUGUUUAGUUUCUGAGAUAAAUUGAUAAGCAUUCAGAAGUGCCUGGUGAUAUGAGUUGACUUCUAUAAAAAAUGUGAUGCUUGAGGUAAUCAUGUUUUCUGUUUUGUCCCAUGAAAGUAACAGAAUUUCUAGAAAAUUAAUUUGUUAUUAUGUCUCAACCUUAAUCAGUUGUUGAAGAAAAAAAUAGCUAUUUUAGAUUAAUUUGAUAGAUUCAAAAAUCCUAGGGUGCUAAAAUGACUCAAAUUAUGGUAUUCAAAUAGGAAUAUUUUUAACUGCAUGUCAAUUGCACACUUGCAUGUUAAUUCUUUAGUAUUAAUGAAGCUAAUAUUUACUGAAAGACUAAUAUAUGCGGAUAUUUUAAAUACAUUGUCCCAGUUAAUCCCCAAAAUAAACAACACUCAGAGAUAGCUCAGAAAUUGGGCUUGAAGUAUUUAAAUGCUUGGUUAUGUGGUCACUUGAGUAGUGAGCACAGAUCCAUUAGAGAAGCAGGUAGUAUUAUUUACAUUUGGUAAAUGAGGGAAUUAAGGUUGAGAGAGUGUAAAUACCUGGCUCAAAGUCACAUUACUGGAAUACACAAGUGCCGGAAUCAAGAUUCAAAUAAAAUUUGCUUUAAGCCUCAAUACCCACACUGUAUCUGCAUUCUUAGAAAACAGUAUGGUGCUUCACAUCCUUUAAAGACACUGGAGAAUUUGACAUCUUAAUGAUUAAUUUCUUCUUUAUAAAGUGCACAUGUAAAAAUAUAGAUAGCUGUUAAAUAUUAAUAUUUCUUGUACUGCUUAAUGUUUGUUCCCUCUGUAGUCAUACUUUUCAUAUAGAACUGUUGACAAUGUAAUUUUUAUAGUAUGUAACUUUUCAUAUGUUCUAUAUAUUCUUGUACUGCCAUUAUUUGAUUUAGUCAUUUUGGAUUAAAGAAAAGUAAUUCUUUUCUAGAAUUAAAACGUGUCUUUUCAUUCCUACCUCCCUUCUUCCUUC
rnacentral:lncRNA from 1 species